UACAGAGGUCUCAAGCGUUGUUCGGAUUCAUUGGGCGUAAAGGGUGCGUAGGCGGCGCGGUAAGUCGGGUGUGAAAUCUCGGGGCUUAACUCCGAAACUGCAUUCGAUACUGCCGUGCUUGAGGACUGGAGAGGAGACUGGAAUUCAUGGUGUAGCAGUGAAAUGCGUAGAUAUCGAGAGGAACACCAGUGGCGAAGGCGAGUCUCUGGACACUUCCUGACGCUGAGGCACGAAAGCCAGGGGAGCAAACGGG
rnacentral:rRNA from 1 species